rnacentral:rRNA from 1 species
GUGAGGAAUAUUGGUCAAUGGACGAGAGUCUGAACCAGCCAAGUCGCGUGAAGGAAGACGGUUCUAUGAAUUGUAAACUUCUUUUGUGCAGGAAUAAAGUGGGUUACGUGUAACCUUUUGUAUGUACUGUACGAAUAAGGAUCGGCUAACUCCGUGCCAGCAGCCGCGGUAAUACGGAGGAUCCGAGCGUUAUCCGGAUUUAUUGGGUUUAAAGGGUGCGUAGGUGGAUUGAUAAGUCAGCGGUGAAAGUUUGCAGCUUAACUGUAAAAUUGCCGUUGAAACUGUCGGUCUUGAGUGCAAAUGAGGAAGGCGGAAUGUGUUGUGUAGCGGUGAAAUGCUUAGAUAUAACACAGAACUCCGAUUGCGAAGGCAGCUUACUGGGAUGCAACUGACACUGAUGCACGAAAGCGUGGGUAUCAAACAGGAUUAGAUACCCCAGUAGUC